rnacentral:tRNA from 1 species
GCCUAGGUGGCUCAGUUGGUUGAGCUUCUGACUUUUGGUUUCAGCUCAGGUCAUGGUUUCACAGUUUGUGAGUUCAAACCCCACAUCAGGCU